UGCCGUGGCCACCAGCCUCCACCUUUCAACAGCCAGAGCAUUGAAACUACCUUCUUUCCUUUAAUGUAAUCAAAUUCUUGGGCAGAGUUGAUCGUAAUCAGUGUUGACUGUUUGUUAUUUUAAAUAGUAAUUUUUUUUCUUAUCCUGGCAAAGUUCAUCUCCUUGUGGCUCCAGAUUUUCAGUCUAGUUAUUUUAUGUCUUCCACCAUUUGUGUCUGAAAGGUUAAAUGUGGUGCCUUUUUUUCCUUACCGCAUGCAUAAAUGCAUGUAUUUUCUGUAUUUGGACGUAGAACUCUGUGUGUUGGGGGCUGGGAUAAAGAAAGAGGCAACCAUCUUUGGCUGAUGUGUUAGAGAUAUGCUUACUUUACAAUAAACAAAGGCUCUUUGUGAAA
ensembl:lncRNA novel transcript